rnacentral:rRNA from 1 species
CCUACGGGAGGCAGCAGUGGGGAAUCUUGCACAAUGGGGGAAACCCUGAUGCAGCGACGCCGCGUGAGCGAUGAAGCCCUUCGGGGUGUAAAGCUCUUUCGGCAGGGACGAUAAUGACGGUACCUGCAGAAGAAGCUGCGGCUAACUACGUGCCAGCAGCCGCGGUAAUACGUAGGCAGCGAGCGUUGUUCGGAGUUACUGGGCGUAAAGCGUGCGUAGGCGGUAGUCCAAGUCUGGUGUGAAAUCUCCCGGCUCAACCGGGAGGGUGCGCUAGAAACUGGGCUGCUGGAGUGCGGGAGAGGCAAGCGGAAUUCCUGGUGUAGCGGUGAAAUGCGUAGAUAUCAGGAGGAACACCCGUGGUGUAGACGGCUUGCUGGACCGUAACUGACGCUGAGGCACGAAAGCGUGGGUAGCAAACAGGAUUAGAUACCCUAGUAGUC